UGGCUCAGUGGUUAAGAGCACUGGCAGAUUUUUCCAGAUGGCCUGGGUUAAAUUCCCAG
rnacentral:tRNA from 1 species